UUAUUAUAGAAAUGAAAGCUCAAAAGCUACUAAAAUCUACAACCUACAUCCUACAAAGAAAAGUUAAGAUAGCUUACAGAAUCCAUUAGAAUAUGAGUCAUACCAAAGGGGAUUUUGCCAUGUGUCAAUGCAAGAAAUUGAUGAGGAAUCAAAGUCCCAGGAAUUACAAUCAUUUUGACUUGAGCUUUCAUCUUCUUGCUGAACUUCUGCAGAGUAUACAGUUGGAAGGGUACAAGAUACAGAUGAAUUAAAGAACUUUGAACCAACUGAAUAAUGAGGGACAGAGGUCGAAGCUUCAGAGCUUAUUGGAUUUUUAUCUGUUGUUGGAAUACAAAACAUAUCAAUGUUUAAAUAAUCACAAUUCCAUGACUCUGUAGCAACCAAGUGCUUGUUAAAGAUUGUAUAAUUCACUUGAUCAUGUUCUAUUUGCUCGUUAUUCUGAGACAAGGUAUUAUGGGUGUCCUGAUCCAAUUGGAAGGAUGACAGCGUUUCCGCCUUUUCCUCAUUUUCCGUACUAUUGGAAUUUCCAACACAAGAACUCAACCCUACCGAAGAUUGUACGGUCGUCUCUUCGCUCCAUCGGCUUGUUUCAGUGUUAGAAUAAAAGUAUGUCCCAGAAGAAAUAUACAUUGUUUUGUUUGGAUCUUCUAAAAAUGGUCCAUCAUAGGUUGAGAAAGACUGGCAUGGAGAGGAGGUAUAAGAAGAAAUAUUACAGUAAUUUGUGUUAGGCGAAACUGUGGUAGAUGCUUGAUGAUGGACAGGCGUUGAAACAGAAAACUUAUUACCAGAAACCAUGCUAUUCCUGCUAUCCGAACACUUUCUGGAUAACACACUAUUGCUCAAUUUACCUCCAAUCCGACUUGGAUAUGAGUCAAUACUUGAACUUUGCGUUGGACUUUGGUGUAUACUAUUUAUAGGGCUUUCCUCUGCAUUACUUACAACAUUCAGUUUUAAGCAAUUUCCUCCAUAAGAUUCUUCGAUACCUACCAUUAUAUUGUUUUCGCCAGUGUUCAAACCGCAAUUAACAUCGAAUGAAAGUUGCUCACUGAUUGAAAAGUUUUCUGCAAAGCUGUGCCUUUCAUCUACAUGAGUUUCGGUUAAUUUGUUACCAUCAAUAAAAAUAUUUUGAGCACAGUGAUUGUUUAUUUCUAACAGCGAGCUUUUUGAACUGCUAUUUUUGUAAUUCAUUCCGGUUGUAUUGGCCUGGCUGCAUACAUCAAUUGAAGGUUUAUCAAUAGAAAUAUUACUAUAACCGCAAUGUAAUCCUACCUCGCUUGAGCCAGAAACUAACUUCCCUGAUCCUUCUGGAAUAUCAUUGGUAACUGUAUUCGUUAAUGAAAUGCCUUGAAACCCAAUUAUUGAAGAACAAUAACAUCGCUGAUUAUUACCGCAUGUUUGGCAAUCAAAUGUAGAGUUAGAACAAGCUAGAUUCGAACUCGCCGAGUAAGGUGAUGACCUAAAUGAGAUUGGUUUGAUGCAUUGGCCAUUAUUAAUCGCCGCAUUAAGAUUACAACUUGCUGGAUCAUUUUUCAAGUUAUCAUUGGGAACAUAAGCGUUCAAAUUUUCAGUAAGGUCAUGAGAGAUAGCUUUACGGUCUUUGUUAACUGCAUUAUUCAUUAUUGAAACAUUUCUACCGUUUGCCACUAAAUUUUUACCAACAAUUCCACUUAUUUUAUAUCCCACUCCGCCCAUUCCUCUUGAAUAACUUUGCCUUUGAGAAUCAUAAUUUUCCUUAUUCAUUCCUAUUUUUUGUGUUUUUAAUAGCCCAAUAGUUGAACAAUUCAAAUUAUUGUUCAUACCUAUCUGUAAAGGUAAACAUUUACCAUCACGUUUUUUUCUUUGCUUCAUCCAACAAGCAUUACAGACCCUUAACUUUGAUUCGACCGAACAUACCGAAAUAUAUCUCCACUGAGGAGUUUUUGUAGCAGAGCAAAUCUGACAAAAGUAAUCAGACCUGUCU
rnacentral:antisense_RNA from 1 species